rnacentral:lncRNA from 1 species
GCCCAGUUAUCCUGCAUGUCCUAUGUAUUGUAGAGCCCAUCCCAGAGAGUUCUUGGCAAAAGCAAAAGUGUUGUUUUGGUUGUGGCAAGUUGGGCCAUAUAUUUAGAGAGUGCCCGUAUACUAGGCAGGGGAGCCGAGAUGUUCGACCCCAGACUCAGGCUACCAUUGCACUAGCUCCUUUAGCUCGUCCAUCCCCUCCCC